UAGUCCACCCCGUAAACGUUGGGAACUAGUUGUGGGGUCUUUUCCACGGAUUCCGUGACGCAGCUAACGCAUUAAGUUCCCCGCCUGGGGAGUACGGCCGCAAGGCUAAAACUCAAAGGAAUUGACGGGGACCCGCACAAGCGGCGGAGCAUGCGGAUUAAUUCGAUGCAACGCGAAGAACCUUACCAAGGCUUGACAUACACGAGAACACUCUGGAAACAGGGGACUCUUUGGACACUCGUGAACAGGUGGUGCAUGGUUGUCGUCAGCUCGUGUCGUGAGAUGUUGGGUUAAGUCCCGCAACGAGCGCAACCCUCGUUCUAUGUUGCCAGCACGUAAUGGUGGGAACUCAUGGGAUACUGCCGGGGUCAACUCGGAGGAAGGUGGGGAUGGACGUCAAAUC
rnacentral:rRNA from 1 species